rnacentral:misc_RNA from 1 species
AAGUCGUAACAAGGUUUCCGUAGGUGAACCUGCGGAAGGAUCAUUACCGAGCAAGGGUCUCUCAGGCCCGACCUCCCACCCCAUGUGUACCUGCCUGUGUUGCUUCGGCGGGCCCGCGGGGGCCACCCGCCGCCGGCCUCGGCCGACGAGCGCCCGCCGGAGACCAUCCAAACCCUGCUUAUCGGUGUCGUCUGAGGAGCAGAAACGCAAUAGUUAAAACUUUCAACAACGGAUCUCUUGGUUCUG